AACGCGAAGAACCUUACCUACUCUUGACAUCCAUGGGAUCUGGCAGAGAUGCUGGAGUGCCUUCGGGAACCAUGAGACAGGUGCUGCAUGGCUGUCGUCAGCUCGUGUCGUGAGAUGUUGGGUUAAGUCCCGUAACGAGCGCAACCCUUAUCCUUAGUUGCCAUUGGGUAAAGCCAGGAACUCUAAGGAGACUGCCGGUGAUAAGCCGGAGGAAGGCGGGGACGAUGUCAAGUCAUCAUGGCCCUUACGAGUAGGGCUACACACGUGCUACAAUGGGCGGUACAGAGGGAAGCGAAGCCGCGAGGUGGAGCGAAUCUCACUAAAGCCGCUCGUAGUCCGGAUUGGAGUCUGCAACUCGACUCCAUGAAGUUGGAAUCGCUAGUAAUCGCGGAUCAGAACGCCGCGGUGAAUACGUUCUCGGGCCUUGUACACACCGACGCGUA
rnacentral:rRNA from 1 species